UGGGGUGUGAAGGGCUGCCUGACCACGUGGGUGCUUUGGGCAGGAAAAGAACGGAAAAGGGCGGUAGUCGGGACUUCUCUGGGGGGUCGGACCUGGGGAUGUCGCUCCUCAGCCUGAAAUAUCCUUCCCAACGUCAUGUAAAAUAGUAAGAGAGCUCAGGCCAAAAGAGGAUAGUAAUUAUCGUCAUAAUAAUUGGAACGCAUGUGUUCUCCAAAGUUCUUUCCCUACAGUAACCUUAAAAGGUGAUUUAUUUUUUUGUCCUGAGUUGGGAUUUUUGUCGUGUGAGAAAAUGCCCGGGUGGAAACUGCCUCACCCGGUGUAAAUUGAAUAUUUCAUCUGGAGUCUAGAGCGUCUAGAGAAUUCCCCAGGCCACUGGAGGUUAAGGGUAUGGCCCGUGGCCAGACACCUGAUUUGUCUCAGGGAAGACUUGAACUCCCCUCUUCCUGACUCCGAGGAACCUAAGCUGCCUCCUCCAAGGAGAUGGCUAGAUAGUCACUGAGAAGAGGCCUGCUUCUUUCUUGGGAAUGGAAUCACAAGGAUCCAACUCUAGAACUUCGCUCUUAUGAGAAGGCAAGGAUUCACCGACAAUGUCACCGGAUUUAGUGUUGACUCAGAGAUCAUCAGGUUUAAAAGGGAACUACUGGACCAGUGGAAUAUACUAUGUUUAGUGAGGAACAGAGACACACUCCAGACAGACACAGAUACAAAGAGAUGACCAUCUAAAGAAGGAAGCAGCUUCAAGGAGCCUGAUCCCUAGCAAUCAAGAGUUGAGUUAUAGAGAGGAGCUAGAAAGCUAGCAUGAGAACUCUCCAAAGAGAAAAAGGACCUCCACCCUCUACUUUAUGAGUAAUUAUGAGUUGUCUUUGCCACAUGUGUACCUUACUACCAUUUUAUUCUAAGUCUGAGCCAACUCUUCUGCUGGAUUCUAUGUUUGUGAGA